rnacentral:rRNA from 1 species
UGGCCCUACGGGAGGCAGCAGUGGGGAAUAUUGGACAUUGGGGGGAACCCUGAUCCAGCGACGCCGCGUGAGUGAAGAAGUAUUUCGGUAUGUAAAGCUCUAUCAGCAGGGAAGAAAGAAAUGACGGUACCUGACUAAGAAGCCCCGGCUAACUACGUGCCAGCAGCCGCGGUAAUACGUAGGGGGCAAGCGUUAUCCGGAUUUACUGGGUGUAAAGGGAGCGUAGACGGAAAGGCAAGUCAGAAGUGAAAACCCAAGGCUCAACCAUGGGAAUGCUUUUGAAACUG